AGUGAACGCUGGCGGUAGGCCUAACACAUGCAAGUCGAACGGCAGCACAGUAAGAGCUUGCUCUUACGGGUGGCGAGUGGCGGACGGGUGAGGAAUACAUCGGAAUCUACUUUUUCGUGGGGGAUAACGUAGGGAAACUUACGCUAAUACCGCAUAUGACCUACGGGUGAAAGCAGGGGAUCUUCGGACCUUGCGCGAUUGAAUGUGCCGAUGUCGGAUUAGCUAGUUGGCGGGGUAAAGGCACACCAAGGCGACGAUCCGUAGCUGGACUGAGAGGAUGAGAAGCCAAACUGGAACUAGAACACGGUGCAGACUCCUACGGGAGGCAGCAGUAGGGAAGAGUGGACAAUGGGCGCAAACCAGAUCCAGCAAUACGGCGUGGAUGAAGAAGGGCUUCGGGAUGUAGAGACCUUUUGUUGGGAAAGAAAAGCAGAAGGUUAAUACGCCGCUGUUCUGACGGUAGCCAAAGAAUAAGCACCGGGUAACUUCGUGC
rnacentral:rRNA from 1 species